rnacentral:rRNA from 1 species
GAUGAACGCUGGCGGCGUGCUUAACACAUGCAAGUCGAACGGAAAGGCCUCAGCUUGCUGGGGUACUCGAGUGGCGAACGGGUGAGUAACACGUGGGUGAUCUGCCCUGCACUUUGGGAUAAGCUUGGGAAACUGGGUCUAAUACCGAAUAUGACCACUUCUUGGAUGUUGUGGUGGAAAGCUUUUGCGGUGUGGGAUGAGCCUGCGGCCUAUCAGCUUGUUGGUGGGGUAAUGGCCUACUAAGGCGGCGACGGGUAUCCGGCCUGAGAGGGGAUACGGACACAUUAGGACUGGGAUGCGGCCCAGACUCCUACGGGAGGCAGCAGUGUGGAAUAUUGCACAAUGGGCGCAAGCCUUAUGCAGCGACGCCGCGUGGGGGAUGAAGUCCUUCGGGUUGUAAACUCCUUUCGCUAUCGACGAAGCCACUUGUGGUGACGGUAGGUAGAUAAGAAGCACCGGCUAACUACGUGCCAGCCGCCGCAGUAA